ACUCCUACGGGAGGCAGCAGUGAGGAAUAUUGGACAAUGGAUGGAAAUCUGAUCCAGCCAUGCCGCGUGCAGGAAGACGGCCCUAUGGGUUGUAAACUGCUUUUGUAUGGGAGCAAUAAGAUCUACGUGUAGAUUGAUGAGAGUACCAUACGAAUAAGCACCGGCUAACUCCGUGCCAGCAGCCGCGGUAAUACGGAGGGUGCAAGCGUUAUCCGGAUUUAUUGGGUUUAAAGGGUGCGUAGGCGGUUUGAUAAGUCAGCGGUGAAAUAUUUCAGCUUAACUGGAAGGGUGCCGUUGAUACUGUCGAGCUUGAAUUUAGUUGCUGUGGGUGGAAUGUGUGGUGUAGCGGUGAAAUGCAUAGAUAUCACACAGAAUAUCGAUUGCGAAGGCAGCUCACAAAGCUAAUAUUGACGCUGAUGCACGAAAGUGUGGGGAUCAAACAGGAUUAGAUACCCUGGUAGUC
rnacentral:rRNA from 1 species